rnacentral:rRNA from 1 species
CCCUUAGAUGUUCUGGGCCGCACGCGCGCUACAAUGAUGAAUUCAACGAGUUUAUAACCUUGGUUGAAAAGCCUGGGUAAUCUUUUGAACUUUCGUCGUGAUGGGGCUAGACCCUUGCAAUUAUUGGUCUCCAACGAGGAAUUCCUAGUAAACGCAAGUCAUCAGCUUGCAUUGAUUACGUCCCUGCCCUUUGUACACACCGCCCGUCGCACCUACCGAUUGAAUGGUCCGGUGAAAUCUUCGGAUUGAGACUUUGAUUUCUUCACGGAAAACGCUGUUUUAAAAAGUUGAUUAAACCUUGCCAUUUAGAGGAAGGUGAAGUCGUAACA